rnacentral:rRNA from 1 species
AUUGAACGCUGGCGGCAUGCCUAACACAUGCAAGUCGAGCGGAGCGGCGGACGGGUGAGUAAUGCCUAGGACUCUGCCUGGUAGUGGGGGAUAACGUCCGGACGCGGGCCCUAAUACCGCAUAAUAUCAGCUUAGCCUGGGUCGGAUUUGCUCGUUGGUGGGGGAAAGGCCUACCAUGGCGACGGACCGUAACUGGUCUGAGAGGAUGAUCAGUCACACUGGAACUGAGACACGGCGCAGACUCCUACGGGAGGCAGCAGUGGGGAAUAUUGGACAAUGGGCGCAAGCCUGAUCCAGCCACGCCGCGUGGGUGAAGAAGGUCUUCGGAUUGUAAAGCACUUUAAGUUGGGAGGCGUGACCAACAGAAUAAGCACCGGCUAACUUCGUGCCAGCAGCCGCGGUAAUAC